UGAAUGGCAAAACGAAAGCUCAACUGUCUCCCUAGACUAAUCAAUGAAAUUGAUCUUUCCGUGCAGAAGCGGAAAUAUUUUUAUAAGACAAAAAGACCCUAUGGAGCUUCAAAUUUAAAUUAAUUAUACAUAAUAAAAAUAUAAUGCAUAAUUUAGUGUAAAAUUUUAGGUUGGGGCGACCACGGAGUAAACUACAACCUCCGAGAUAAAUAAUUAAGAAAGACAUUUCAAGAUAAUAAAACAGUUAGUACACUUGAUCCAAUUUUUGAUCAACGAACCAAGUUACCCUAGGGAUAACAGCGCAAUCCUCUUAAAGAGUUCAUAUCGACAAGGGGGUUUACGACCUCGAUGUUGGAUCAGGGCCCCCUAAUGGUGCAGCAACUAUUAAGGGUUCGUUUGUUCAACGAUUAAAGCCCUACGUGAUCUGAGUU
rnacentral:rRNA from 1 species